GAUGAACGCUGGCUACAGGCUUAACACAUGCAAGUCGAGGGGAAACGACGGGGAAGCUUGCUUCCCCGGGCGUCGACCGGCGCACGGGUGAGUAACGCGUAUCCAACCUGCCUCUGACUGAGGGAUAACCCGUCGAAAGUCGGCCUAAUACCUCAUGGCAUCGUCUGCGGGCAUCCAACGACGAUUAAAGAUUUCAUCGGUCAGGGAUGGGGAUGCGUCUGAUUAGCUUGUUGGCGGGGUAACGGCCCACCAAGGCUACGAUCAGUAGGGGUUCUGAGAGGAAGGUCCCCCACAUUGGAACUGAGACACGGUCCAAACUCCUACGGGAGGCAGCAGUGAGGAAUAUUGGUCAAUGGGCGAGAGCCUGAACCAGCCAAGUAGCGUGCAGGAUGACGGCCCUAUGGGUUGUAAACUGCUUUUAUGCGGGGAUAAAGUGAGGGACGUGUCCUUCAUUGCAGGUACCGCAUGAAUAAGGACCGGCUAAUUCCGUGCCAGCAGCCGCGGUAAUACGGAAGGUCCGGGCGUUAUCCGGAUUUAUUGGGUUUAAAGGGAGCGUAGGCCGUGGAUUAAGCGUGUUGUGAAAUGCAGGUGCUCAACGUCUGCACUGCAGCGCGAACUGGUCCACUUGAGUGUGCGCAACGCAGGCGGAAUUCGUCGUGUAGCGGUGAAAUGCUUAGAUAUGACGAAGAACUCCGAUUGCGAAGGCAGCUUGCGGGAGCACAACUGACGCUGAAGCUCGAAAGUGCGGGUAUCGAACAGG
rnacentral:rRNA from 1 species